GUGUCAGCAGCCGCGGUAAUACGGAGGGUGCAAACGUUGCUCGGAAUUAUUGGGCGUAAAGCGCACGUAGGCGGCCGAACAAGUUGGAUGUGAAAUCCCUGGGCUCAACCCAGGAAGUGCAUCCAAAACUGGUCGGCUUGAAUGUCGGAGGGGGUCAGAGAAUUCCCGGUGUAGAGGUGAAAUUCGUAGAUAUCGGGAGGAAUACCAGUGGCGAAGGCGCUGACCUGGACGAACAUUGACGCUGAGGUGCGAAAGCGUGGGUAGCAAACAGGAUUAGAUACCCGAGUAGUCC
rnacentral:rRNA from 1 species